rnacentral:lncRNA from 12 species
GGAGAGAACUUGGAAGUUCAUCCCUGCUUUUACAGAGGAGGUUAGAGCCGCUGAAGACCAACGGAGCUCCUCACACUAGGGUGCUGGGCUCUGGGGGCUGCGGGCCCACAACGUCUGGGCUCCUGCACCUCGCAGGGAGUUUCACACAGCCAGGCCGGCCCGAGGGGCAGGGGGGCGUCAUGCCAGGUGCCGAGUUCCAGAAUCCUAGAGAUGGACGUCGGUGGAUGAAGGAGAAAUUCAGAGAGAGGAGCACUGCUCUGAGGAGCUGGUGAAGGCAGGAGGCUACGCAGCCUCCCCAAGAGAUUCAUAUCCUCCAUGUGGGUUUGGAAACAUCUGUUCAGACCAGAACAUAUCGGUGGAAGCUAUAUUUUGUUCCUCUCCAUGCGAGCCCAGGUGGCUGCAUCGACACGCCAUGUACUGGGGACACCAGGGGCAUUGGCUUUUGUCAACAGGACUUUGGAUAUGAACAAAACACACGCAAUCAUUUCCCACCAGGAUAUGACAUUCUGGACCAACCCUGAAUGUGGGCACAUGUG